GGGGGAGUAGUUCAAUUUGCCGAUAGUAGAACGUCCGUUUAGCAAACGGAAGGGUGGGGGUGCGAGUCCCUCCUCCACCA
rnacentral:tRNA from 1 species